UACGAAGGGGGCGAGCGUUGUUCGGAUUUACUGGGCGUAAAGCGUGCGCAGGCGGUUCGUUGUGUCGGUGGUGAAAGCCCCGGGCUUAACCUGGGAAUGGCCAUGGAAACUGGCGAACUGGAGUGUGGCAGAGGGGGGUGGAAUUCCGCGUGUAGCAGUGAAAUGCGUAGAGAUGCGGAGGAACACCGAUGGCGAAGGCAGCCCCCCUGGGCUGACACUGACGCUCAGGCACGAAAGCGUGGGGAGCAAACAGG
rnacentral:rRNA from 1 species